UGGGGAAUAUUGGGCAAUGGGCGAAAGCCUGACCCAGCAACGCCUCGUGAAGGAAGAAGGUCUUCGGAUUGUAAACUUCUUUUAUGAGGGACGAAGGACGUGACGGUACCUCAUGAAUAAGCCACGGCUAACUACGUGCCAGCAGCCGCGGUAAUACGUAGGUGGCAAGCGUUAUCCGGAUUUACUGGGUGUAAAGGGCGCGUAGGCGGGGAUGCAAGUCAGAUGUGAAAUCUAUGGGCUUAACUCAUAAACUGCAUUUGGGAACUGUAUCUCUUGAGUGCUGGAGAGGUAGACGGAAUUCCUUGUGUAGCGGUGAAAUGCGUAGAUAUAAGGAAGAACACCAGUGGCGAAGGCGGUCUACUGGACAGUAACUGACGCUGAGGCGCGAAAGCGUGGGGAGCAAACAGGAUUAGAUACC
rnacentral:rRNA from 1 species